rnacentral:rRNA from 1 species
GACGAACGCUGGCGGCGUGCUUAACACAUGCAAGUCGAACGGAAAGGCCCUGCUUUUGUGGGGUGCUCGAGUGGCGAACGGGUGAGUAACACGUGAGUAACCUGCCCUUGACUUUGGGAUAACUUCAGGAAACUGGGGCUAAUACCGGAUAGGAGCUCCUGCUGCAUGGUGGGGGUUGGAAAGUUUCGGCGGGUGGGGAUGGACUCGCGGCUUAUCAGCUUGUUGGUGGGGUAUUGGCUUACCAAGGCUUUGACAGGUGGCCGGCCUGAGAGGGUGACCGGCCACAUUGCGACUGAGAGAGGGCGCAGACUCCUACGGGAGGCAGCAGGGGGGAAUAUUGCACAAUGGGCGGAAGCCUGAUGCAGCAACGCCGCGUGUGGGAUGACGGCCUUCGGGUUGUAAACCGCUUUCGCCUGUGACGAAGCGUGAGUGACGGUAAUGGGUAAAGAAGCACCGGCUAACUACGUG